rnacentral:rRNA from 1 species
GAUGAACGCUGGCGUCGUGCCUAAUACAUGCAAGUCGAGCGAACAGACGAGGAGCUUGCUCCUCUGACGUUAGCGGCGGACGGGUGAGUAACACGUGGAUAACCUACCUAUAAGACUGGGAUAACUUCGGGAAACCGGAGCUAAUACCGGAUAAUAUAUUGAACCGCAUGGUUCAAUAGUGAAAGACGGUUUUGCUGUCACUUAUAGAUGGAUCCGCGCCGCAUUAGCUAGUUGGUAAGGUAACGGCUUACCAAGGCAACGAUGCGUAGCCGACCUGAGAGGGUGAUCGGCCGCACUGGAACUGAGACACGGUCCAGACUCCUACGGGAGGCAGCAGUAGGGAAUCUUCCGCAAUGGGCGAAAGCCUGACGGAGCAACGCCGCGUGAGUGAUGAAGGUCUUCGGAUCGUAAAACUCUGUUAUUAGGGAAGAACAAAUGUGUAAGUAACUAUGCACGUCUUGACGGUACCUAAUCAGAAAGCCACGGCUAACUACGUG